AGAGUUUGAUCCUGGCGUCAGGAUAAAACGCUGGCGGCGCACAUAAGACAUGCAAGUCGAACGGACUUAACCCGUAAUGUUUUACAUUUGGGAGCGGUUAGUGGCGGACUGGUGAGUAACACGUAAGCAACCUGCCUAUUAGAGGGGAAUAACAGUGAGAAAUCAUUGCUAAUACCGCAUAUGCCAUAGGAACCACAUGGUUCUAGUGGGAAAGGAGAAAUCCGCUAAUAGAUGGGCUUGCGUCUGAUUAGAUAGUUGGUGGGGUAAUGGCCUACCAAGUCAACGAUCAGUAGCCGGACUGAGAGGUUGAACGGCCACAUUGGGACUGAGAUACGGCCCAGACUCCUACGGGAGGCAGCAGUCGGGAAUAUUGCACAAUGGAGGAAACUCUGAUGCAGUGACGCCGCGUGCAGGAAGAAGGUUUUCGGAUUGUAAACUGCUUUAGACAGGGAAGAAACAAGACAGUACCUGUAGAAUAAGCCCCGGCUAACUACGUG
rnacentral:rRNA from 1 species